rnacentral:rRNA from 1 species
AUUGAACGCUGGCGGCAUGCCUUACACAUGCAAGUCGAACGGUAACGGGUCUUCGGAUGCUGACGAGUGGCGAACGGGUGAGUAAUACAUCGGAACGUGCCCGAGAGUGGGGGAUAACGAGGCGAAAGCUUUGCUAAUACCGCAUACGAUCUCAGGAUGAAAGCAGGGGACCGCAAGGCCUUGCGCUCACGGAGCGGCCGAUGGCAGAUUAGGUAGUUGGUGGGAUAAAAGCUUACCAAGCCGACGAUCUGUAGCUGGUCUGAGAGGACGACCAGCCACACUGGGACCGAGACACGGCCCAGACUCCUACGGGAGGCAGCAGUGGGGAAUUUUGGACAAUGGGCGCAAGCCUGAUCCAGCCAUGCCGCGUGCAGGAUGAAGGCCUUCGGGUUGUAAACUGCUUUUGUACGGAACGAAAAGACUCUGGUUAAUACCUGGGGUCCAUGACGGUACCGUAAGAAUAAGCACCGGCUAACUACGUGCCAGCCGCCGCGGUAAAAC